GAGGCAGGGAGGUGGGGAGAGAGGAUGAGUUGUUGGAACUCACCCAGCUGAGAUUAGCUUAGACCAUGGCUUACUCCCCUUUGGGACAGCUAGGUGGCACAGUGGGUACAGCACUGGAUAUUCAGGAAGAACUGAGUUCAAAUGUGGCUUCAGACCCCUACUAGUUGUCACUAGACAUCACUUAACUCUGUUUGCCUCAGUUUCCUCAUCAGUAAAACAAGCUGGAGAAGGAAAUGACAAACCACUCCAGUAUCUCUGCCAAGAAAAUCCCAAAUGGAGGCCCAAAGAGGCAAACAUGACUAAAACAACUGAACAACAAUACUCCCUUUUUAGGAUAUGGAUGCCUUCUGAGAUACAAGCAAAGGACUAAUUACUGACUCUUUGUGGAGCUUAGCCUGAUCCAUCUAGACUGAGGAGAAUUUUCAGUACAAAGGAAUUGGCUUUAUUAUGGGCUAGAAUCUAUCAAGGAGCUCAAAUGAAUAGCCAUUAAACAUUUAUUAAUUGACAUUGUACUAAGAAAGGCAAAAGAUAGUUCCUAUUCUCAAUUAGAUAAUUUCAGAGAAGGAUGAAUAGUUUUGAGAUUUUUACAGUGUUUGGCAGUUAUAUUGUACAGGGGAUUUAAUUCAAUCCUCAAUGCAACCUGUUCACAAAUGGAAGGAAAAUAUUAUCCACAUUUUGUAGCUGGAGAAACUGAGGUAUGGAGGGGAAAAUGACUUGGCCAAGGCCAUAAAGUGGCAGAGCUAGGAUUAGAAUCCAAGUUUCUUGACUCCUGUUGUUGGAUUGUUUGUUUGUUUGGCCUGUUUUUCUAAGGAUCAAGGACUCUCUAGGGUGAUAUCUUGACUUGCAUGUGAAUUGGAUUGAAGUGAAGCAAUUAGUCAUAGGUCUCACUCUCUCUUCCAGAAUCAUGGAAGUCCAGUGGGAAGACAAAAGUCAGAAGGACCGGUGAUGUCCUGGGAUGCAGCGGUUGACCUUGGUGUCUUUGAUGUCAAAAUAGUUUUACAAGGGUGGCUGACAUGUUGGCUACAGCUUCUUGGAGCCACAGAUGACAACUUUGUAAGCUAUGAAGAGACUGAAAAACUGACUUCUCAUCGGAAGCAAUGCCCAGGAGAAAUAGUGACCCAAGACAAAUCUGAAACACCAGUGGAAAGCCUGUCUCAGAAGUGACCUUCAAGGCAGAGGGAAGUAUGGCCUCUCAAAAAUGUACUAGUCCUUGGGUCUAUGAAGUCAUUAAAGUGAUAACAUUAAUUAUAAUAAUAGCUAGCUUUUAUGUACAGCACUUUAAGAUUUGCCAAGAGAAUUACAAAUAUUAUAUCAUUUGAUUCUUACAAUAGCCCUGGAAGGUAGGUGUUAUUAUUACCUCCAUUUUACAGAUAAGGUAGGGAACAAUUAAGGGACUUGACCAGGGUCCCACAGCUAGUGACCCAGCUAGUGUCUGAGGCUAGAAUUGAACUUGGAUCCUUUUUUUUUAAACCCUUACCUUCUGUCUUAGACUCAACACUGCGUAUUGGUUCCAAGGCAGAAGAGUGGUAAGGGCUAGGCAAUGGGGGUUAAGUGACUUGCCCAGGGUCACCCAGCUAGUGACCCAGCUAGUGUCUGAGGCUAGAAUUGAACUUGGAUCCUUUUAUUUUAAACCCUUACCUUCUGUCUUAGACUCAACACUGUGUAUUAGUUCCAAGGCAGAAGAGCGGUAAGGGCUAGGCAAUGGGGGUUAAGUGACUUUUAGACUCAACAUUGUGUAUUAGUUCCAAGGCAGAAGAGCGGUAAGGGCUAGGCAAUGGGGGUUAAGUGACUUGCCCAGGGUCCCACAGCUAGUGACCCAGCUAGUGUCUGAGGCUAGAAUUGAACUUGGAUCCUUUUUUUUUAAACCCUUACCUUCUGUCUUAGACUCAACACUGUGUAUUAGUUCCAAGGCAGAAGAGCGGUAAGGGCUAGGCAAUAGGGGUUAAGUGACUUGCCCAGGGUCACCCAGCUAGGAAGUGUUUGAGGCCAGAUUGAAACCCAGAACCUCCCAUCUCUAGGCCUGGCUUUCCCAUCCACUAAGCCACCCAGCUGCCCCACUUAGAUUUUCUUGACUUCAGGCCCAGUGCUCUGUGCACUGAGUCACUUAGUAGUCUAAUAUUUCCAUUAUCAGAAGCCAAGAGUUACCCUUUGAUCACAUAUGAUC
ensembl:lncRNA